GACGAACGCUGGCGGCGUACUUAACACAUGCAAGUCGAACGGAAAGGCCCUGCUUUUGUGGGGUGCUCGAGUGGCGAACGGGUGAGUAACACGUGAGUAACCUGCCCAUGACUUUGGGAUAACUUCAGGAAACUGGGGCUAAUACCGGAUAGGAGCUCCUGCUGCAUGGUGGGGGUUGGAAAGUUUCGGCGGUUGGGGAUGGACUCGCGGCUUAUCAGCUUGUUGGUGGGGUAGUGGCUUACCAAGGCUUUGACGGGUAGCCGGCCUGAGAGGGUGACCGGCCACAUUGGGACUGAGAUACGGCCCAGACUCCUACGGGAGGCAGCAGUGGGGAAUAUUGCACAAUGGGCGGAAGCCUGAUGCAGCAACGCCGCGUGCGGGAUGACGGCCUUCGGGUUGUAAACCGCUUUCGCCUGUGACGAAGCGUGAGUGACGGUAAUGGGUAAAGAAGCACCGGCUAACUACGUG
rnacentral:rRNA from 1 species